AUUCCCCCAGUAGCGGCGAGCGAACGGGGAGCAGCCCGGAGUCUGAAUCAGCUUGUGUGUUAGUGGAACGGUCUGGAAAGUCCGACGGUACAGGGUGAUAGUCCCGUACACGAAAAUGCACAUGCUGUGAACUCGAAGAGUAGGGCGGGACACGUGGUAUCCUGUCUGAAUAUGGGGGGACCAUCCUCCAAGGCUAAAUACUCCUGACUGACCGAUAGUGAACCAGUACCGUGAGGGAAAGGCGAAAAGAACCCCGGCGAGGGGAGUGAAAAAGAACCUGAAACCGUGUACGUACAAGCAGUGGGAGCCUCUUUAUGGGGUGACUGCGUACCUUUUGUAUAAUGGGUCAGCGACUUAUAUUCUGUAGCAAGGUUAACCGUAUAGGGGAGCCGAAGGGAAACCGAGUCUUAACUGGGCGUUAAGUUGCAGGGUAUAGACCCGAAACCCGGUGAUCUAGCCAUGGGCAGGUUGAAGGUUGGGUAACACUAACUGGAGGACCGAACCGACUAAUGUUGAAAAAUUAGCGGAUGACCUGUGGCUGGGGGUGAAAGGCCAAUCAAACCGGGAGAUAGCUGGUUCUCCCCGAAAGCUAUUUAGGUAGCGCCUCGUGAACUCAUCUUCGGGGGUAGAGCACUGUUUCGGCUAGGGGGCCAUCCCGGCUUACCAACCCGAUGCAAACUACGAAUACCGAAGAAUGUUAUCACGGGAGACACACGGCGGGUGCUAACGUCCGUCGUGAAGAGGGAAACAACCCAGACCGCCAGCUAAGGUCCCAAAGUCAUGGUUAAGUGGGAAACGAUGUGGGAAGGCACAGACAGCCAGGAUGUUGGCUUAGAAGCAGCCAUCAUUUAAAGAAAGCGUAAUAGCUCACUGGUCGAGUCGGCCUGCGCGGAAGAUGUAACGGGGCUAAACCAUGCACCGAAGCUGCGGCAGCGACACUAUGUGUUGUUGGGUAGGGGAGCGUUCUGUAAGCCGUUGAAGGUGUGCUGUGAGGCAUGCUGGAGGUAUCAGAAGUGCGAAUGCUGACAUAAGUAACGAUAAAGCGGGUGAAAAGCCCGCUCGCCGGAAGACCAAGGGUUCCUGUCCAACGUUAAUCGGGGCAGGGUGAGUCGACCCCUAAGGCGAGGCCGAAAGGCGUAGUCGAUGGGAAACAGGUUAAUAUUCCUGUACUUGGUGUUACUGCGAAGGGGGGACGGAGAAGGCUAUGUCAGCCGGGCGACGGUUGUCCCGGUUUAAGCAUGUAGGCGGAGGUUCCAGGUAAAUCCGGUACCUUAUUAACGCUGAGGUGUGAUGACGAGGCACUACGGUGCUGAAGUGAUAAAUGCCCUGCUUCCAGGAAAAGCCUCUAAGCAUCAGGUAACACGAAAUCGUACCCCAAACCGACACAGGUGGUCAGGUAGAGAAUACCAAGGCGCUUGAGAGAACUCGGGUGAAGGAACUAGGCAAAAUGGUGCCGUAAC
rnacentral:rRNA from 1 species